UCCGGCGUGAAGAUUCCCCACCACCGCACGGAUCCAUAAGCCAGGAUCAUCGCCACGUACAACGGCACCACCGCCGCCAGCACCGUAUACAGGCUUGCAGCUAUAUAACUUUGUAGUUGACUUUGAUUGGUAGCGAAAGCUGGAGAGAAUCCAUCCUUCCCUCUCUUCCCAAUAAGUGAGGAAGGGGAAAGAAGGGGAAGUGCGAUGAUUCAAGAGUCUAUCUAUGCACCUGCUCCAAUGGUUUGGAAUUUAUAUAUUCCCCUCAAAGGAAGCCAGGAAGAUGACAAGCAGAGGACUGCUCAGCUUGCUGAGUUGGGUCUGCAGAAAGCAAGGAUGAAUAAGGGUGUAGCAUCUGUUUUGAUAUGGCAAGCAUCUGAUGAAUUCGUAGUAAGGAAGUAAAGGCUUGAUGCUGGUCACCAAGUACCUGCUUCCAUUGUGGACUAGUACUACUUCACAUCUUGGACAAAGUCACAGGCUGAAGGAACGAGAUAGGAGGAUGAAACCUGGCAUGUGAGGUGCUCCCAUUGCUAGUUAUGGAAGCUUUCGGUGCCACUGCUAAGAAUCAAAGGUGAGUUCUAAUGAGUUUUCGAUCAUUUGAAGUUGUUUGAUACAUGUAAACUUUUUCUUCCACUCAAAUAUGUCGGGCAACCAAACCCAGAUGACUCUUUGGAUUAUGCUUUUGUGUUUAUCUUUAUAGCCAAUUCAAGAAUUAUGCAAAUGUCGGAUGAACAGAGAAAAGCUGAAUCUUGACUAGAUCAUUCGACAUGACAAUUCUCAUAAAAAGACUGCUUUGUGACCUUAGGAAAGUGAUCUGCUUGCUAUGUCACCCACACAUAGAAUAGGAUGAUUGCUCACAUUUCUUGUUGUGAAGACAUCUCUGGUUUUUGAGCCAACAACUGAAACCUUCAGUGGACUCUGACCUUCCUGCUGCUUGGAAAUAAGAAAAUGUCACUGGGAGUGUUUACAGAUUAACAGUUUCCAAUAAACCCCAGGAAGGCACCAUUGGGUAUUCACAUCCGAUGAAUGGUCUCACGAGGAGAAAUUUCAGGUUUCAUGUGGAAUAUAUGAGUGCUCAUGAUCAAUAGUUUAGAUUUCUCGAUUGAUUUUUCCCUCAUGUGAAAAUCCAUUGUUAGCAGACUAGCUAGAUGCCUAAUUCUGCCAUUAUGGUAGGAGACUUAGGUGGUCCUUAAAUAAUGUUGGGUGAGGAUGAAACUUAUAGGGUCAUGGCCUUGUUGCACAGAGAGACAAGAUAUAAUAUUUUGUCUGAGGGUAUAAAAUAACUUCAGAAGUCUCAAAAAUAAGUAUUUCUAAGAAGUUUGAUUUAUUGGACUAUUAAAGUUUUAUCUAACUAGGAAUAUUUGCUUGAUAGUAUCAGCUACUUAGACAAGUCAUAUAUUGAGAAAAAAAAGGAUUAAUUAUA